UUAUUACCGGGCCUGGGGUAAUAACAAGUUAAAACCAGCCCAAACUGUAAAAAAAAACCGUAGAGAUGAUGGGAUCUUCCUUUAGGUUUAGGUUUAGGUAUAUCUGAUUUGUCAUUCUUCCUUUCUGCAUAUUGUCGAUGGAACUCCAUACCAGCGUGUUCGGUGUCAACCGACCUCCCUCGGAAAGCUUGGAAGAUAGAGGUAAACUGAUCAAAUUGGAAUCGGAAUCGGAAUCCGAAUCAGAAUUGGUUUCGGAAACGGAAUCGGAUUCGGAUUCUGAAACGGAACCGGGAUCAAAGCCGAAACCGCGGGUGAUUUAAGAUUGGGAAUUGAAACGGCCUGAAGAUCUUGUUGCGAGUGACUCCACAGCUCUUCGAUGCCAUCGCCCCUCCAAAAAUUGCAGGUCUAUGUGGCGGUGUAAUUCCCCUUCCCAUAGACGAUGAGUGUCGACUUAAUGUCACUCCCCUAUGCAAUGCUGCCUUAGACAACUACAAUAAUGAGAAUCAGGGUUCAAAUUUUGUGCUGGCUGAUAUUUUAAGGACAACCUGGAGAGCUGGUGGUAUGUAUUACAUCACCUUUCAAGCCACACAUCUUUCCGAUAGCAAUGCCACAACUUUCCAGGCACAAGUACAAAGAAAACCGAAGGGAGAACACAAGGUCUAUUCGUGCGCCAUUAAAACCUAACACACCAUGGAAUUCAUGUCCACUGCACCCACCUGCUGCUGAUUUUAGUUGUUAGAAACAUGGGGGUGAAAGUAGGCUUGGACUUCUGGGUGUAGUUAAUUAAAUAUGACUGCUGUUUAUAUAUGAUAUAUUUGCUACAACAACAUUUUGCAAUUUUAACCUCACUUUCUUGUGUCAUUUGACACUAUAACUUCAGGGUGUAGUUAAUUAAAAAUGACUGAUUGUGCAUGCUAUAUUUGCUACAACAUUUUGUAAUUUUAACCUCACUUUUUGGGUCACUUCACGCAAUCUAAUGGCAUGAAUGUUAGUUAUUUAA